rnacentral:misc_RNA from 1 species
GAAUUGCGAUAAGUAAUGUGAAUUGCAGAAUUCAGUGAAUCAUCGAAUCUUUGAACGCACCUUGCGCUCCCUGGUAUUCCGGGGAGCAUGCCUGUUCGAGUGUCGUAAACUUCUCAAUCCUAACUGGUUUUUAUGAGCUAUGUUAGGAUUGGAUUUGGGCUUUGCUGCGUCAAAUGCAGCUGGCCGUAAAAGGAUUAGCUGAAUCUUGUCUAAUUGAAGACUGGUUUGACUCGGCGUAAUAAUUAUCUGCCCGCUGAGGACAUCGCAAGAUGGCCAGACUUUGAGACUGAGAGUCGCUUCUAAUCGUCGUUUAUUCGACAGAUUUUCACCCUUUGACCUCGGAUCAGGUAGGACUACCCGCUGAACUUAA